rnacentral:lncRNA from 1 species
UAAGCACUGCCUUAUGUGCCUUCCCACAGCCACUCUUUGAGAAGUUGGUUAAGGCAGAAUGUUCACCCACUGCAGGUGAAUACACCACAACUCAGAGAGGUCAAGUGACUGGCCCAUUAAGGGGGAAUCACAGAGCCAGUUAAGUGCAGGUGAGCCCAGGGCUCUCUUCAUUAGCCAUCCUUAAUGGGUUCAAGGAGCCCAGAUGGACUUCAUCCAGGUCCGCAGGUGUCACUAGCUCCUCAGAACUGCAGGAAAUGAGGCCAACCCCCUGUCUGGACACAGCAGCCUCACAGCCUGGUCCGCAAGGACAGCAGCCCACCCUGCUUCCCACCCAGGCUGGCCACGGAUUUGAUUCAGGAGGGGAACGGUGGAAUCUGGCUCAGAGCAGGAGGCCUGCUUCUUCUGGAGACCUAUUAACGCCUUGAGCACUCAAAAAGGGUGACCCACCGCCUGCCCUCCUCCCCAGCACAGCCAAAAAUGACCUUGAUCUUUGCCAAGCCUACCCAAGAAGAGAAGGAAACGCCCCUCCUCGGCAGCAAGGCAGGGUGUACAAUCCCUCCUAUUCUCAUAUCCGCUUCUCCACCUCCAGCGAGGGAUCCUACCAGAGCCCCUUGAGGCUGCAAACCCAGGGGAGGCUCCUCCAGGCCCCUCUAACUCAGUGAAGCUAGAGAUGCAGUGCUGAGGACUUACAUGGAGAAAAAUGCACAAAUAAUAGGCCCUUGCAGCUUCAGUCUGCCCUGGGAGGAGGCUGUGGGCCAGGAUGACCCUGUAUACAUCCCAACCCAGCACCACCACCAACACCAGCAUAUACAGCAUUGAUUAUGCUCCUACUACUUAUUGAUUACGCUCCUACUACAGUAGUUCAACAACAACAAAAACUUCCUAGCGCCAAAGGUUACCGGAGGUUGCCACCCAAACCCUCUGGGACCCCUCAUCACUAGACUCCUGCUCCUGGCGACCACCCGAGUCCCAUCCCCACCAACACACGCGACUUCAUCCAAAAGUUCUUCCUCUGAGAACGCCAAGAGACACCCAAGGGACUCCAGGUAAAGGUGAGCCCUUCCAGCAGUCGCCCUCUGGCUCGGCACGGAGGGGGGCGCUCAGCCUUUCUGGGGCAAAUUUAGUAAUAUGGGACCCGAGC